rnacentral:rRNA from 1 species
UUUUAGCAGGGAAGAAGCGAAAGUGACGGUACCUGCAGAAAAAGCGCCGGCUAACUACGUGCCAGCAGCCGCGGUAAUACGUAGGGCGCAAGCGUUAUCCGGAAUUAUUGGGCGUAAAGAGCUCGUAGGCGGUUUGUCGCGUCUGCUGUGAAAACCCGAGGCUCAACCUCGGGCCUGCAGUGGGUACGGGCAGACUAGAGUGCGGUAGGGGAGAUUGGAAUUCCUGGUGUAGCGGUGGAAUGCGCAGAUAUCAGGAGGAACACCGAUGGCGAAGGCAGAUCUCUGGGCCGUAACUGACGCUGAGGAGCGAAAGGGUGGGGAGCAAACAGGCUUAGAUACCCUGGUAGUCCACCCCGUAAACGUUGGGAACUAGUUGUGGGGUCCAUUCCACGGAUUCCGUGACGCAGCUAACGCAUUAAGUUCCCCGCCUGGGGAGUACGGCCGCAAGGCUAAAACUCAAAGGAAUUGACGGGGACCCGCACAAGCGGCGGAGCAUGCGGAUUAAUUCGAUGCAACGCGAAGAACCUUACCAAGGCUUGACAUAUACGAGAACGGGCCAGAAAUGGUGAACUCUUUGGACACUCGUAAACAGGUGGUGCAUGGUUGUCGUCAGCUCGUGUCGUGAGAUGUUGGGUUAAGUCCCGCAACGAGCGCAACCCUCGUUCUAUGUUGCCAGCACGUAAUGGUGGGAACUCAUGGGAUACUGCCGGGGUCAACUCGGAGGAAGGUGGGGAUGACGUCAAAUCAUCAUGCCCCUUAUGUCUUGGGCUUCACGCAUGCUACAAUGGCCGGUACAAAGGGCUGCAAUACCGCAAGGUGGAGCGAAUCCCAAAAAGCCGGUCCCAGUUCGGAUUGAGGUCUGCAACUCGACCUCAUGAAGUCGGAGUCGCUAGUAAUCGCAGAUCAGCAACGCUGCGGUGAAUACGUUCCCGGGUCUUGUACACACCGCCCGUCAAGUCAUGAAAGUCGGUAACACCUGAAGCCGGUGGCCCAACCCUUGUGGAGGGAGCCGU